AUGAACUGCACACCUCUACUCUUCCCACUCCUCUUGCUCUACACAGGUGAUCUCUUCUGCCCUGUCCCAGAUUCUACCUGUUUUGUGGUCUCCUAUGAGCUGACUCAGCCAUCCUCAGUCUCAGUAGCCCCAGGACAGACAGCCACAAUCACCUGUUCUGGAGAUGAAUUGUCAAAUAACUAUGCAAACUGGUUCCAGCAGCAGUACCCAGGACAGAGCCCUGUGCUGGUAAUAUACAAAGAUAGUGAGAGACCUUCAGGGAUCCCAGAGAGAUUCUCUGGGUCCAGYUCAGGGACAACAGCCACUCUGACCAUCAGUAGAACUCAGACUGAAGAUGAGGCUGUCUAUUAUUGUUUAUCAUCCUAUGAUGAUAGUGAUGGUGGUAAUGUACUUCCCACAGUGACACAGGCAGAUGGGAAGUGA